GCGCCGCUAGCUCAACUGGCAGAGCAGCGGACUCUUAAUCCGCGGGUUCGGGGUUCGAGUCCCUGGCGGCGCACCA
rnacentral:tRNA from 204 species